rnacentral:rRNA from 1 species
AUUGAACGCUGGCGGCAGGCCUAACACAUGCAAGUCGAGCGGAUGAAGGGAGCUUGCUCCUGGAUUCAGCGGCGGACGGGUGAGUAAUGCCUAGGAAUCUGCCUGGUAGUGGGGGAUAACGUCCGGAAACGGGCGCUAAUACCGCAUACGUCCUGAGGGAGAAAGUGGGGGAUCUUCGGACCUCACGCUAUCAGAUGAGCCUAGGUCGGAUUAGCUAGUUGGUGGGGUAAAGGCCUACCAAGGCGACGAUCCGUAACUGGUCUGAGAGGAUGAUCAGUCACAAUAGAACUGAGACACGGUCCAGACUCCUACGGGAGGCAGCAGUGGGGAAUAUUGGACAAUGGGAGAAAGCCUGAUCCAGCCAUGCCGCGUGUGUGAAGAAGGUCUUCGGAUUGUAAAGCACUUUAAGUUGGGAGGAAGGGCAGUAAGUUAAUACCUUGCUGUUUUGACGUUACCAACAGAAUAAGCACCGGCUAACUUCGUG